rnacentral:rRNA from 1 species
UACAGAGGGUGCAAGCGUUACUCGGAAUUACUGGGCGUAAAGCGUGCGUAGACGGUUAUUUAAGUCAGGUGUGAAAGCCCCGGGCUCAACCUGGGAAUUGCAUUUGAGACUGAAUAGCUAGGGUGCGGAAGAGGGAAGCGGAAUUUCCGGUGUAGCGGUGAAAUGCGUAGAUAUCAUGAGGAACACCAGAGGCGAAGGCGACUUCCUGGACAAUUGCUGACGCUCAGGCACGAAAGCAUGGGGAGCAAAAGGG